UUUUAUAAUUGGCGCGAUGAAGGAAAAUAUAAUUUUCUUCGGCUCAGAAGUAAUAUUUCUCAUCGUGGCACAAUACUUGAGCAUCUCGACGGCUUUUCCAGCUAUUUCAUCCGAUAGUUUCGAAUGCCUAGGGGCUACAUGAAGCUCAAAACGCGAGAACUCGGGACCCAGUGUAAUGCAAGUACGCUGCAGCGUGGUACAAUACGCAUGUUGAUCGUUGCAAUUGGGGAGAAAGGGGGAACCGGGUGUGCAGAGGCGGCGAGCUCAAAAGCUCAAAUGAAGUGCUUCGGGAGUUUACGCAGAACUUUUGGUUAUGCAGUGCCACGCAGCGAAGUAUGUAAGAAGUCAUUAAUGAAAUAUAGUACUUCCAAAGAAACUUCUUCAGGGUAUUGUGUGAAUAUGGUUAAAAACUUCGACUACGAGAAUUUCUUGUGUACGUUACUCCUCCCUAACGAUAUUCGGACUUCUGCUUUUGCAAUCCGUGCAUUUAACAUCGAGACUGCAAGAGUUCAGGAUAGCGUGAGUGAUCCACGUAUUGGUCAAAUGAGGCUGAAAUUCUGGGAAGAAACCAUUGAUAACAUUUACAAUGGGCAUGUGCCAAAGCAACCAGUUGCUAGUGAACUUUAUCGUGCUAUCAAGAGGCAUACAUUAUCUAAAAGGCACCUGAAACGGCUCAUAUUGGCACGCUCCAACCAUUUUUCUACUUCAUUUCUGAGUCUUGAUGAAAUGGAGUCAUAUGCAGAAGAAUCAACAUCUCCAGUAUACUAUAUGCUUCUGGAAGCACUGGGCAUUAAAAACAUUCAUGCUGAUCAUGCUGCUAGUCACUUAGGAAAAGCACAGGGUCUUACCAACAUGGUUCGUUCAGUACCUCAUUGUGCUGAGAGAAGACUAGCACCACCAUUACCACAAGAUGUUAUGAUGGAGAAAGGUGUGUCUCAGGAAGAGAUUAUCCGUGGAAGCAGAUCAGACAACACUCGUGAUGUAAUCUUCACAGUAGCUGCCAGAGCCUCACAACAUCUCGAAAAGGCUCGUUCUAUUAAAACCAAUCUUCCAGAACCUGCCUUCAGGAUAUUUUUGCCUGGUGUACCUGUUGGUCAAUACCUAGAGAAAUUGAGGCUACUUCAUUUUGAUGUAUUUGAUGCCAAAUUGCAGAGGAGAAAUAGUCUCCUUCCGCUUGCCUUGUACUGGAACAGAUUCAGAAUGAAGUUCUGAAAAGUGAGACAUCAUUUUAGUUCAUAAACACUUGCUGAUGUUUAGCUGCCACCACACGUCACAUAUGAGCAGCCUUCAAAUGCUGGUGCUCCAAGCACACGUUGUUUAGUGGAGACAACCUUGCAAAGGAGCUGGAACCCUUACAGUGGCUGCAUCGCACAUGACUGAAGAAAUAUGGGAGGAAUUUCAUUGGCAGGAGAGGGACGAAGCAGAUGAAGAUUUAGUAGGUAUGGAUAUAAAUGAGGCUCACGAGGAGAAGAGUGAUCAUACUUCGGACACCGAACAAGAACAAAGUGAAUCCGAUGUUGAGUGUCUGGAGGGUAGAUUUUUUGUAUGCAAAGCUAAGUCUAUAAAAUGGAAAAAGCAAAACCUGGCCAGAGCCUCAGAACUUGGAAACAUAUCAUAACCCAUUACCUGGAAGAAAGGCAGUACUUCAAAAGUGUAGUGUCUGUCAUCAAUUCAUUUUCUAUUUUAUUUGAUGAACGUAUAGUGACCUCAGUUGUAAAUUGCACAAUGAUGUACAUAAAGUCGGUAAAAAAUAAACAUUUCAGAGAGUGGGAUGCCAAACAUAUGAAGAGAGAAGACUUACUAGUAUUUUUGGGGCUACUCUAUUUGGCUGGGCUUCACAAAGCCACUCAUGUGAAUUAUGAGGAUUUAUGGGAAGACAUAAAAAUCUUUUGUCUCACAGUUUCAUGCAAAUGAUUUUUGUUUUUACUUAGAGUCAUAAGAUUUGAUGACAUUCACACCUUUAAAACUAGAAGAAAACAUUAUAAAUUAGCACCUGUGAGGGAAUUUCCCACUGCGAUAAAUAAUAAUUGUAAAAAUGCGUUCAGCUCAAGUGAAUAUUGUACAAUUGAAGAAUAGCUUAUACUUUUAGACAUUAUUUACUGUAAAAACACAAAAGGUGUGAAAUAAAGGUUUUUGCACUAAUAGAUGCUGGAAUGAAUUAUUUCAUCAACUUUUAAAUAUAUGCAAACACACAACUGAAUGAACUGUUUCGUCAAGACAGUGCUGUAUUAUCAGUUGUGAACAGGUUGACUGAACAUGGUGCAGGUACCAACAGGAAUAUAACUUGUGACAAUAUUAGUUACCAACUAGCUCAGCUUCUCCUUACAAGAACGUUAACAGUUGUGGGUAUCUUAUGAAAAAGUAAGCAUGAAAUUCCAAGAGAAUUUCAGCCUAGUAAGUAUAAAACAAAGUAUAGCUGUGUUUCUGGAUUCACUAAAGAUGUUACUUUAGUAUCGUACAUUACUGCCAAAAAUAAGACGGUAAUAGUAUUAUCAACAAUGUAUCAUGAUGAUGCCAUUGACACAUCAACUGAUGUUAAAGUGAAGUCUAAAAUAAUCACCUUAUAUAAUGGUACCAAAGGUGGGGUCGAUACAUGCGAUCAGUUAUGGACAAAUUUUA